CCCUGAACAUUCCCCAUCUCGUUAAAUCGCCGAAGUUAAACCGGAUCAGGCCCGGUGAGCACUUGAAUGGUGGACCAUCUGGAAAUACAAGGUGUUGCAAGGU
rnacentral:rRNA from 14 species